GACGAACGCUGGCGGCGUGCCUAACACAUGCAAGUCGAGCGAAGCGGGGACGGGGGUGUAUCACGUGGAUUACCCCCUCUAACACUGGGAUAACACCGUGAAACCGGAGCUAAAUCGCACAUUUAUAGAUUGAUCCGCGCUGCAUUUGCUAGUUGGUAAGGUAACGGCUUACCAAGGCAACGAUGAGUAGCCGACCUGAGAGGGUGAUCGGCCACACUGGAACUGAGACACGGUCCAGACUCCUACGGGAGGCAGCAGUAGGGAAUCUUCCGCAAUGGGCGAAAGCCUGACGGAGCAACGCCGCGUGGGUGAUGAAGGUCUUCGGGUCGUAAAACUCUGUUAUUGGGGAAGCGGUACCUAAUCAGAAAGCCACGGCUAACUACGUGCCAGCAGCCGCGGUAAUAC
rnacentral:rRNA from 1 species